rnacentral:rRNA from 1 species
GACGAACGCUGGCGGCGUGCUUAACACAUGCAAGUCGAACGAUGAUCCGGGUGCUUGCACCUGGGGAUUAGUGGCGAACGGGUGAGUAACACGUGAGUAACCUGCCCUGGACUCUGGGAUAACCCCGAGAAAUCGGAGCUAAUACCGGAUAGGACCGUUCCUCGCAUGAGGUGGGGUGGAAAGCUUUUUCGGUUUGGGAUGGACUCGCAGCCUAUCAGCUUGUUGGUGGGGUAAUGGCUCACCAAGGCGUCGACGGGUAGCCGGCCUGAGAGGGUGACCAGCCACACUGGGACUGAGACACGGCCCAGACUCCUACGGGAGGCAGCAGUGGGGAAUAUUGCACAAUGGGCGCAAGCCUGAUGCAGCAACGCCGCGUGCGGGAUGACGGCCUUCGGGUUGUAAACCGCUUUUAGUAGGGAAGAAGCCUCUUGGGGUGACGGUACCUGCAGAAAAAGGACCGGCUAACUACGUGCCAGCCGCCGCAGUAACAC